rnacentral:rRNA from 1 species
AGACUACCAUGCAGUCGAGCGGUAGCACAGAGAGCUUGCUCUCGGGUGACGAGCGGCGGACGGGUGAGUAAUGUCUGGGAAACUGCCUGAUGGAGGGGGAUAACUACUGGAAACGGUAGCUAAUACCGCAUAACGUCGCAAGACCAAAGUGGGGGACCUUCGGGCCUCAUGCCAUCAGAUGUGCCCAGAUGGGAUUAGCUAGUAGGUGGGGUAACGGCUCACCUAGGCGACGAUCCCUAGCUGGUCUGAGAGGAUGACCAGCCACACUGGAACUGAGACACGGUCCAGACUCCUACGGGAGGCAGCAGUGGGGAAUAUUGCACAAUGGGCGCAAGCCUGAUGCAGCCAUGCCGCGUGUGUGAAGAAGGCCUUCGGGUUGUAAAGCACUUUCAGCGGGGAGGAAGGCGAUAAGGUUAAUAACCUUGUCGAUUGACGUUACCCGCAGAAGAAGCACCGGCUAACUCCGUGCCAGCAGCCGCGGUAAUACGGAGGGUGCAAGCGUUAAUCGGAAUUACUGGGCGUAAAGCGCACGCAGGCGGUCUGUCAAGUCGGAUGUGAAAUCCCCGGGCUCAACCUGGGAACUGCAUUCGAAACUGGCAGGCUAGAGUCUUGUAGAGGGGGGUAGAAUUCCAGGUGUAGCGGUGAAAUGCGUAGAGAUCUGGAGGAAUACCGGUGGCGAAGGCGGCCCCCUGGACAAAGACUGACGCUCAGGUGCGAAAGCGUGGGGAGCAAACAGGAUUAGAUACCCUGGUAGUCCACGCCGUAAACGAUGUCGAUUUGGAGGUUGUGCCCUUGAGGCGUGGCUUCCGGAGCUAACGCGUUAAAUCGACCGCCUGGGGAGUACGGCCGCAAGGUUAAAACUCAAAUGAAUUGACGGGGGCCCGCACAAGCGGUGGAGCAUGUGGUUUAAUUCGAUGCAACGCGAAGAACCUUACCUGGUCUUGACAUCCACAGAACUUUCCAGAGAUGGAUUGGUGCCUUCGGGAACUGUGAGACAGGUGCUGCAUGGCUGUCGUCAGCUCGUGUUGUGAAAUGUUGGGUUAAGUCCCGCAACGAGCGCAACCCUUAUCCUUUGUUGCCAGCGGUUAGGCCGGGAACUCAAAGGAGACUGCCAGUGAUAAACUGGAGGAAGGUGGGGAUGACGUCAAGUCAUCAUGGCCCUUACGACCAGGGCUACACACGUGCUACAAUGGCAUAUACAAAGAGAAGCGACCUCGCGAGAGCAAGCGGACCUCAUAAAGUAUGUCGUAGUCCGGAUUGGAGUCUGCAACUCGACUCCAUGAAGUCGGAAUCGCUAGUAAUCGUAGAUCAGAAUGCUACGGUGAAUACGUUCCCGGGCCUUGUACACACCGCCCGUCACACCAUGGGAGUGGGUUGCAAAAGAAGUAGGUAGCUUAACCUUCGGGAGGGCGCUACCACUUGAUAGU